rnacentral:tRNA from 1 species
GCUUGUGUAGCAUAGCAGGUAAUGCGUUCUGCUGUUAAUCGAAAUACUGCAGGUUCGAGUCCUGUCACAAGCG